CUGGAUUUUGUCCGCUCUUGAUCAGCUGCAGCUAAACCCUUCUCCUGCUGUGGCAGUACUUCCUCUGGGCACGGGAAAUGACCUCGCUAGGACGCUAAACUGGGGUGGGGGUUACACAGAUGAACCUCUGAGUAAAAUCCUGUCUCACGUUGAGGAUGGGAAUAUUGUGCAGCUGGAUCGAUGGAAUCUUAUUGUGAAGCCCAACCCAGAGGCGGGGUCAGAGGAAAGAGACGAGCAGGUGACAGACAAGCUCCCUUUGGACAUCUUCAAUAAUUACUUCAGCCUUGGGUUUGAUGCUCAUGUGACUUUAGAGUUCCAUGAAUCCCGAGAGGCCAACCCUGAGAAAUUUA